CACCGGCGGCUCGAGUGGUAACCGUUAUUAUUGGGUCUAAAGGGUCUGUAGCCGGCCGGAUAAGUCUCUUGAGAAAUCCAGCAGCUCAACUGUUGGGCUUUCAGGAGAUACUGUCUGGCUCGAGGCCGGGAGAGGUGAGAGGUACUUCAGGGGUAGGGGUGAAAUCUUGUAAUCCUUGAAGGACCACCAGUGGCGAAGGCGUCUCACCAGAACGGACCUGACGGCAAGGGACGAAAGCUAGGGGCACGAACCGGAUUAGAUACCCGGGUAGUCCUAGCCGUAAACGAGACUCGCUAGGUGUCGGCCACGGUGCGACCGUUGUCGGUGCCGUAGGGAAGCCGUGAAGCGAGCCACCUGGGAAGUACGGCCGCAAGGCUGAAACUUAAAGGAAUUGGCGGGGGAGCACCACAACGGGUGGAGCUUGCGGUUUAAUUGGAUUCAACGCCGGA
rnacentral:rRNA from 1 species